AACAAGGGAUUUAAAGGGAUCAAUAGUAGACAAAAUAGUACUGUUUUAGUAGCACUGAAAAGUACCGUUUUGCAUUUCAUUAUUUGCAUGCCACAUCAAGUAUUCACUGUUUUUUUUCUGAAUGCUGUCAUCACUCUUUAUUUUGUACUAGCUAGUCAUGAAGGCUAACUUUUUUUCAACGUUUCAAACUGUGGUAGCCACAGUUGCGGUUCGCUAUGUCCUUGAUGCCGCCGUGCUGUAUUUCAGCGAAUACGAAAAGGAAAAUCAUAACAUGGUUUACAGCACCAUCGCGAGUAUGACAAUUUUGCUUAUGGCAUUCUACACACUAGACAGGGCUCGCUUCAUCCGCCCAGACCAUUCAUCACCGACUAUCAUAAAACUGCAUUUAACUAUAAAGCAAGCCCCUACGGCGGAAAUGGAGAGGAUAAUUACGGACAUGAGAAAUGAGGAAUAAUGUAGCUCAAUGCCUAUAUUUUGUAUGAUGUUAUGAAUGUUGUAAUAAAAAAUGAUCCAUCACUUA